rnacentral:tRNA from 1 species
CGUAGCUCAGCUGGUUAGAGCACAGCAUUCAUAAUGCUGGGGUCGGUGGUUCAAGUCCACCCGUAGCCACCA